rnacentral:rRNA from 1 species
GACAGAGGGUGCAAACGUUGUUCGGAAUUACUGGGCGUAAAGCGUGUGUAGGCGGUCUCUUAAGUCGGAUGUGAAAGCCCCGGGCUCAACCCGGGAAGUGCACUCGAAACUGGGAGGCUAGAGUACCGGAGAGGUUGGUGGAAUUCUCGGUGUAGAGGUGAAAUUCGUAGAUAUCGAGAGGAACACCGGUGGCGAAGGCGGCCAACUGGACAGAUACUGACGCUGAGACACGAAAGCGUGGGGAGCAAACAGG